rnacentral:rRNA from 1 species
CAGCCGCCGCGGUAAUACGUAGGGUGCGAGCGUUAAUCGGAAUUACUGGGCGUAAAGCGUGCGCAGGCGGUUGUGUAAGACAGGUGUGAAAUCCCCGGGCUUAACCUGGGAACUGCGCUUGUGACUGCACAGCUAGAGUAUGGCAGAGGGGGUGGAAUUCCACGUGUAGCAGUGAAAUGCGUAGAGAUGUGGAGGAACACCGAUGGCGAAGGCAGCCCCCUGGGCCAAUACUGACGCUCAUGCACGAAAGCGUGGGGAGCAAACAGGAUUAGAUACCCCAGUAGUCCCUGUCUCUUAUACC